UCCUGGUUAACCCAGGCAGUCUCGUUAGAGUUCCCGCCAUUACGCGUUGGCAACUAACGAUAAGGGUUGCGCUCGUUGCUGGACUUAACCAAACACCUCACGGCACGAGCUGACGACAGCCAUGCAGCACCUAUAUAGAGGCCCUUGCGGGAGAUAACAUUUCUGCUAUCGCCCUCUACAUUUCGAGCCCAGGUAAGGUUCUUCGCGUUGCAUCGAAUUAAACCACAUGCUCCACUGCUUGUGCGGGCCCCCGUCAAUUCUUUUGAGUUUCACCCUUGCGAGCGUACUCCCCAGGCGGUAUACUUAAUGCGUUAGCUCCGGUACAGAGGGGGUUGAUCCCACCUACACCUAGUAUACAUCGUUUAAGGCAUGGACUAC
rnacentral:misc_RNA from 1 species